rnacentral:rRNA from 1 species
GAUGAACGCUGGCGACGUGCCUAAUACAUGCAAGUCGAGCGAACGGACGAGAAGCUUGCUUCUCUGAUGUUAGCGGCGGACGGGUGAGUAACACGUGGAUAACCUACCUAUAAGACUGGGAUAACUUCGGGAAACCGGAGCUAAUACCGGAUAAUAUUUUGAACCGCAUGGUUCAAAAGUGAAAGACGGUCUUGCUGUCACUUAUAGAUGGAUCCGCGCUGCAUUAGCUAGUUGGUAAGGUAACGGCUUACCAAGGCAACGAUGCAUAGCCGACCUGAGAGGGUGAUCGGCCACACUGGAACUGAGACACGGUCCAGACUCCUACGGGAGGCAGCAGUAGGGAAUCUUCCGCAAUGGGCGAAAGCCUGACGGAGCAACGCCGCGUGAGUGGUGAAGGUCUUCGGAUCGUAAAACUCUGUUAUUAGGGAAGAACAUAUGUGUAAGUAACUGUACACAUCUUGACGGUACCUAAUCAGAAAGCCACGGCUAACUACGUG